UACAAAUUAGAGCAACUAGCUCACUUGACUGUUAAUCAAGAGGUUGCAGGUUAAAUCCUGCAUUUGUAGCCA
rnacentral:tRNA from 1 species